CAGCACUCCAACUACACCAUGGAGGUGGGAUUUGGGGUUAUCCCCAGGGGGUUUGGGGUCAUCCCCAGGGGGUUUGGGGUCACUGAGGGGCUGGGAAUGGGGAAUUGGGGGGUCCCAGCUGGUGCAGGAGGCGCUCAUCUUCGACAACCAGCACUCCAACUACACCAUGGAGGUGGGAUUUGGGGUUAUCCCCAGGGGGUUUGGGGUCAUCCCCAGGGGGUUUGGGGUCACUGAGGGGCUGGGAAUGGGGAAUUGGGGGGUCCCAGCUGGUGCAGGAGGCGCUCAUCUUCGACAACCAGCACUCCAACUACACCAUGGAGGUGGGGUUUGGGGUCACCGUGGGGUUUGGGAUUGUCCCCAGAGGAAUUUGGGGUCACUGAGGGGCUGGGAAUGGGGAACUGGGGGAUCCCUCUGGGGUUUGGGGGGGUCCCAGGGCAGGCAGGACCCCUGAUCCUCAACAGGCAGCGUUCCAGCUGUGUGGAGCUGGGAUCCUGGGGUCCCAUCCCCUGGAAUUGGGGUCGUCCCAGGGUUUGGGGUGUUCUGUAGGGUGCUGGAUCCAUCACAGGAUAAUCCUGUGGGUGCAGGAUCCCUCCUGUGGGGAUCAGGAUGUUCCUGUGGGGAUCAGGAUGAUCCUGUGGGUGCAGGAUCAAUUCUGUGAGGAUCAGGAUGUUCCUGUGAGGAUCAGGAGGAUCCUGUGAGGGUCAGGAUGUUCAUUCCUGUGAGAAUCAGGAUGUUCCUGUGGGAAUCAGGAUGUUCCUGUGGGUGCAGGAUACAUCCCAUGGGGAUCAGGAUGAUCCCUUGAGGGUCAGAAUGGUCCUGUGAGGAUCAGGAUGAUCCCAUGGGGAUCAGGAUGUUCCUGUGGGGAUCAGGAUGAUCACGUGAGGAUCAGGAUGUUCUUGUGAGGAUCAGGAUGAUCCUGUGAGGAUCAGGAUGGGGGGUUUGGGGUCACUGAGGGGCUGGGAAUGGGGAAUUGGGGGGUCCCAGCUGGUGCAGGAGGCGCUCAUCUUCGACAACCAGCACUCCAACUACACCAUGGAGCACCUGCGCGUGGGCUGGGAGCAGCUGCUGACGACCAUCGCCCGCACCAUCAACGAGGUGGAGAACCAGAUCCUGACCCGCGACGCCAAAGGCAUCAGCCAGGAGCAGAUGCAGGAGUUCCGGGCCUCCUUCAACCACUUCGACAAGGUCUGGGGUCCAGAGUGCUGGGGUUGGGGAUCCCAAAAUCCUGGGGUUGGGGUCCCACAAUCCUGGUGUUUGGGAUCCCAAAAUCCUGGGGUUGGGGUCUCAGAGUCCUGGGGUUGGGGUCCCACAAUCCUGGUGUUUGGGAUCCCAAAAUCCUGGGGUUGGGGUCCCAGAGUCCUGGGGUUGGGGUCUCAAAAUCCUGGGGUUGGGGUCUCAG
rnacentral:lncRNA from 12 species